UGGAAAGCGUGGGGAGCAAACAGGAUUAGAUACCCUUGGUAGUCCACGCCGUAAACGAUGUCGACUUGGAGGUUGUGCCCUUGAGGCGUGGCUUCCGGAGCUAACGCGUUAAGUCGACCGCCUGGGGAGUACGGCCGCAAGGUUAAAACUCAAAUGAAUUGACGGGGGCCCGCACAAGCGGUGGAGCAUGUGGUUUAAUUCGAUGCAACGCGAAGAACCUUACCUACUCUUGACAUCCAGAGAACUUUCCAGAGAUGGAUUGGUGCCUUCGGGAACUCUGAGACAGGUGCUGCAUGGCUGUCGUCAGCUCGUGUUGUGAAAUGUUGGGUUAAGUCCCGCAACGAGCGCAACCCUUAUCCUUUGUUGCCAGCGGUUAGGCCGGGAACUCAAAGGAGACUGCCAGUGAUAAACUGGAGGAAGGUGGGGAUGACGUCAAGUCAUCAUGGCCCUUACGAGUAGGGCUACACACGUGCUACAAUGGCGCAUACAAAGAGAAGCGACCUCGCGAGAGCAAGCGGACCUCAUAAAGUGCGUCGUAGUCCGGAUUGGAGUCUGGAAACUCGACUCCAUGAAGUCGGAAUCGCUAUAAU
rnacentral:rRNA from 1 species